UACGAAGGGACCUAGCGUAGUUCGGAAUUACUGGGCUUAAAGAGCUCGUAGGUGGUUAAAAAAGUUGAUGGUGAAAUCCCAAGGCUCAACCUUGGAACUGCCAUCAAAACUUUUUAGCUAGAGUGUGAUAGAGGUAAGUGGAAUUUCUAGUGUAGAGGUGAAAUUCGUAGAUAUUAGAAAGAACACCAAAUGCGAAGGCAACUUACUGGGUCACUACUGACACUGAGGAGCGAAAGCAUGGGUAGCGAAGAGG
rnacentral:rRNA from 2 species